UCGUUAGAGCUGCAGCUCAGUGGUAGAGCGUCCGACCGGUGUGCUGAAGGUCAUAGGUUCGACCCCUGUUGGAAGAA